rnacentral:tRNA from 1 species
GGGGAUGUAGCUCAGAAGGUAGAGCACUUGCUUAGCAUGCGAGAGGUACAGGGCCGAUACCCCACAUCUCCA